GACGAACGCUGGCGGCGUGCUUAACACAUGCAAGUCGAACGGGAAGGCCCUGCUUUUGUGGGGUGCUCGAGUGGCGAACGGGUGAGUAACACGUGAGUAACCUGCCCUUGACUUUGGGAUAACUUCAGGAAACUGGGGCUAAUACCGGAUAGGAGCUCCUGCUGCAUGGUGGGGGUUGGAAAGUUUCGGCGGUUGGGGAUGGACUCGCGGCUUAUCAGCUUGUUGGUGGGGUAGUGGCUUACCAAGGCUUUGACGGGUAGCCGGCCCGAGAGGGUGACCGGCCACAUUGGGACUGAGAUACGGCCCAGACUCCUACGGGAGGCAGCAGUGGGGAAUAUUGCACAAUGGGCGGAAGCCUGAUGCAGCAACGCCGCGUGCGGGAUGACGGCCUUCGGGUUGUAAACCGCUUUCGCCUGUGACGAAGCGUGAGUGACGGUAAUGGGUAAAGAAGCACCGGCUAACUACGUG
rnacentral:rRNA from 1 species